rnacentral:misc_RNA from 1 species
GAUGAAGAACGUAGCGAAAUGCGAUAAGUAAUGUGAAUUGCAGAAUUCAGUGAAUCAUCGAAUCUUUGAACGCACAUUGCGCCCGCCAGUACUCUGGCGGGCAUGCCUGUUCGAGCGUCAUUUCAACCAUCAAGCCCCAGGCUUGUGUUGGGGACCUGCGGCUGCCGCAGGCCCUGAAAACCAGUGGCGGGCUCGCUGUCACACCGGGCGUAGUAGAUUUUAUCUCGCUCAGGGCGUGCUGCGGGUUCCGGCCGUUAAAAAGCCUUUUUUACCCAAGGUUGACCUCGGAUCAGGUAGGAAGACCCGCUGAACUUAAGCAUAUCAAUAAGCGGAGGA